AGAGUUUGAUCAUGGCUCAGGACGAACGCUGGCGGCGUGCUUAACACAUGCAAGUCGAGCGAGGCCUUUCCUUCGGGAGAGUGUCCUAGCGGCGAACGGGUGAGUAACACGUGGGCAACCUGCCCUCAGCUCUGGGAUAACUCCAAGAAAUUGGGGCUAAUACCGGAUAUGACCGCUGACCGCAUGGUCUGGUGGUGGAAAGAUUUAUCGGCUGGGGAUGGGCCCGCGGCCUAUCAGCUUGUUGGUGGGGUAGUGGCCUACCAAGGCGACGACGGGUAGCCGGCCUGAGAGGGUGACCGGCCACACUGGGACUGAGACACGGCCCAGACUCCUACGGGAGGCAGCAGUGGGGAAUAUUGCGCAAUGGGCGGAAGCCUGACGCAGCGACGCCGCGUGGGGGAUGACGGCCUUCGGGUUGUAAACCUCUUUCAGCAGGGACGAAGCGAAAGUGACGGUACCUGCAGAAGAAGCACCGGCCAACUACGUGCCAGCAGCCGCGGUA
rnacentral:rRNA from 1 species